UUUUUCGUUCGUCUCCCUCGCUACGUUAUCUUCCUUGCCGACUCAAGCUUUCCGCCGAUCACUGCUUUCUCACCGACUGACUGCUUUCUCGUCGAUUUUUCUUCUUGUAUCUCGACGGCGUCGUGUAUCUGACCGACUCUGCUGCUCGUAUCUCGCCGACUCUGCUGCUCUCUCCCAAAAGACUGUUAUCUUUGCUGAACUCGUUAUCACAGAAAAUUAGCAAAGGGAAGAAAAACUUAUCGAGGAAGGUAGGCAAAGGGAAGAAAAACUUAUGGAGGAAGGUAGACAAAGAGAAGAAAAUCUCAAGGAGAUGGUUCAUAAGAUGAUUUAAGAGGUUGGAUAUACAAAUCAUUAGUAUCCAGGAGGAUCUGGUCCCCCCGAGCGUCGUGAUAGACGAAAUAAAAAUUAUAUUUAAUUAGAUAAUAUGAAUAUUUGGAUGAUGUGUUAUUUUUGGAUUAAAAAUUAAUUGCUUCGAAUAUUUUUAAUUUA